rnacentral:rRNA from 1 species
ACAGGUGUUGCAUGGCUGUCGUCAGCUCGUGUCGUGAGAUGUUCGGUUAAGUCCGCUAACGAGCGCAACCCUCGUGUAUGUUAUAUGUGUCAUACGAGACUGCCGGUAAAAAGCCGGAGGAAGGUGAGGAUGAUGUCAAGUCAGCAUGACCUUUAUAUCCAGGGCUACACACACGCUACAAUGGUCUGUACAAUGGGUAGCCAAGCCGCGAGGCGGAGCCAAUCCUGAAAGCAGGCCUCAGUUCAGAUUGCAGUCUGCAACUCGACUGCAUGAAGCCGGAGUUGCUAGUAACCGCAGGUCAGCAAUACUGCGGUGAAUACGUUCCCGGGUCUU